UACGAAGGGGCUAGCGUUGCUCGGAAUCACUGGGCGUAAAGCGCACGUAGGCGGAUGUGUCAGUCAGGGGUGAAAUCCCGGAGCUCAACUUCGGAACUGCCUUUGAUACAGCACGUCUUGAGUCCGGAAGAGGUGGGUGGAAUUCCUAGUGUAGAGGUGAAAUUCGUAGAUAUUAGGAAGAACACCGGUGGCGAAGGCGGCCCACUGGUCCGGUACUGACGCUGAGGUGCGAAAGCGUGGGGAGCAAACAGG
rnacentral:rRNA from 1 species